rnacentral:lncRNA from 1 species
UUUAUUUAGAGAAGCCCUUUCAGUACAUCUUUUAGAAUGGGUUUAGUAUUGCUGUACUCUUUUAGCUUUUGUUUGUUGGAGAAAUUCUUUAUUUCCCCUUCUAUUUUAAAUGAUAUUCUUGCUGUAUAAAGUAUUCUAGGCUGCAUAUUUUUUCCUUUCAGAACUUUAAAUAUAUCUUGCCACUCCCUUCUGGCCUGUGGUGUUUCUGUAGAGAAAUCAGCUGAUAGCCUUGUGGGGAUUCCCUUAUAAUUAAUGCUUUGUUUUUCUCUUGCUGCCUUUAGAAUCCUCUCUUCAUCUUUAACUCUUGCCAUUUUUAUUAUAAUGUGUCUUAGUGUGGUCCUAUUUGGGUUCAACUUGUUUGGGGCCUCUGUGCUUCCUGUAUCUUAAUAUUAGUUUCUUUUGGAUUUGGAAAGUUUUCAGACAUAAUUUCUUCAAAUAUAUUUUCAAUCCCCCUUUCUUUUCCUUCUGGAAUUCCUAUUAUGCAUAGUUUGGCCCACUUUAUAUUAUCCCAUAGAUCUCUUAUAUUGCUUUUGUGUUUUCUCAUUUGGUUUUCUGCCUGCUGUUCUGAUUGGGUGAUUUCCAUUAUUCUAUCUUCCUAAUCACUAAUUCGUUCCUCUGCCUUAUUCAUUCUGCUCUUUAGUGCCUUAGCUCAGUUUGUGUCUCUGCAAGUGAAUUUUCUAAUUUUUCUGUGUUCCUCCUUAUAUUUUCUAGUUCAUUUCUAAAGGAAUCUGCAUACUGUUCAUAUCUACUCUUAAUUCUUUGAUAUUCAGCCUUAAUUCCUUUAGUAUUUUCACUAUCUCCCUUUUGAACGCAAUGUCUGUCAGACUGCAGAGGUCUCUUUCAUUGUUUGCUGCUUCAUGUGAUUUCUGUUCCAUUAACUGGGAAUGGUUUCUGAGCUUCUUCAUCUUGCUUAUGUUUUUCUUUUUCUGUGAGUUUAGGGAAGCCGCACUAUAGUCUUGGAGGACUACUUUUAUGCAAGAGCACUCCUUUGUAUUUUGUAGGGGGUUACUAUUUAUUUUUGGUGUGGGAGUUUGAAUAUUUGCUGUCUCUUUCUUUGGUAUGAGCAGGCUGUUAUCCCCAGGGUGCUGAGUGUAUGUAUUUCCAGGGAGAAGGAGGCAAUGGAUAGGGCUAGUAGUCAGUGCCCAGUUGCUGGGCUCUUAACAGCAGCAAGGACCUGCAGGAAGGUGGCACAAGCUGCUCCUAGUUGCAGGGCCCUGGGAAGUGGUAAUGAGCCUUAGGCAGAUUUACAAGGUGCCCAGAGCAUUUGGCAGUGGCAGCAGCGGGAUGUGUGAGUUCCCAGGGGAGUAAGAGCAACAACAGGUAGUGUUCAAUUGCAGUGCCCUUCUCUGAGGUGAUUGGGGCCGCAAGUGGUGCCUGUUCAGGGACCCCUAGUGGUAGCGGGCCACACCCACCUCUGGAGUCAGUGAUAACUGUGUGGUUUGCCCCUGCCUCCUGUAGACCAUGCAAGAAGCACCUUGUCCCACUUAGCCCCCAUAGGAGGUGCUGUACCAGCUGCUCCUAGUUGUAGGUUCUUGGGAAGGGACAGUGAUCAAGCGACUAGGCACUGUCCAGAGCAUUUGGCAGUGGCAGCAGCAGGGCGGGUAUACUCCCAGGGGAGUGAGAGCAACAACAGGUGGUGUUCUGUCACAGUGCCCUCCUCUGUGGUGCCCUCUGAGGUGGUUGGAGUUACAAGUGGAUCUUGUUCAGGGAACCCCAGUGGUGGUGGGCUUCACCCACCUCUGGAAUCAGAGAUAACUGCCAUGGUUUUCCCCCGCCAUCUGCAGACCAGGCAAGAAGUGCCUGUCCUGUUUAGCUCACACAGGAGGUGCUGCACCAGCUGCUUCUAGUUGUAGGGUCUCGGGAAAGGACAGUGAUCAAG